AGAGUUUGAUCAUGGCUCAGAACGAACGCUGGCGGCAUGCCUAACACAUGCAAGUCGAACGCGGGGCUUCGGCCCUGAGUGGCGCACGGGUGAGUAACGCGUGGGAACCUGCCCCGAGGUGGGGGAUAACCGAUGGAAACGUCGGCUAAUACCGCAUGAGACCUGAGGGUGAAAGAUUUAUCGCCUUGGGAGGGGCCCGCGUCGGAUUAGCUAGUUGGUGGGGUAACGGCCUACCAAGGCGAUGAUCCGUAGCUGGUCUGAGAGGAUGAUCAGCCACACUGGGACUGAGACACGGCCCAGACUCCUACGGGAGGCAACAGUGGGGAAUAUUGGACAAUGGGGGCAACCCUGAUCCAGCAAUGCCGCGUGAGUGAUGAAGGCCUUAGGGUUGUAAAGCUCUUUCGGCGGGGACGAUGAUGACGGUACCCGCAGAAGAAGCCCGGCUAACUUCGUGCCAGCAGCCGCGGUA
rnacentral:rRNA from 1 species